rnacentral:rRNA from 1 species
UACAGAGGUCCCAAGCGUUGUUCGGAUUCACUGGGCGUAAAGGGUGCGUAGGUGGCCAGGUAAGUUCGGUGUGAAAGCUCGGAGCUUAACUUCGAAAUGGCAUUGAAUACUAUCUGGCUAGAGGGUCGGAGGGGAGACUGGAAUUCUCGGUGUAGCAGUGAAAUGCGUAGAUAUCGAGAGGAACACCAGUGGCGAAGGCGAGUCUCUGGACGACUCCUGACACUGAGGCACGAAAGCCAGGGGAGCAAACAGGAUUAGAAACCCCCGUAGUCC